rnacentral:misc_RNA from 1 species
AAGUCGUAACAAGGUAUCCGUAGGUGAACCUGCGGAUGGAUCAUUAUAGGUUAUUGGGUGAUUGUGAGUGGUUUUAUUAUAGUUUGAGUGGUGUUGGUUGGGAUGCGAAGCUGGAUUGCGAAGCAAGACAGCCAACAUUGGCUCGCGUUAAACUCUAUAAAUCUAAACAACAAUUACAUACAACAAAAAACAACUUUUAGCAACGGAUCUCUUGGCUCUC